CUGGCACCACGUGCCUACGUCACCUACUACCAGGCUCGGGGACUAAGUGGGCACACUUCACCUUGCGGUGAAUAUGCUUGCUUUUUAAAAGACUAUACUUUUUAGAAAAGUAAAGUGGGCACACUUCACCAAGAAAGAAAUUUUUUUUAAUCAAGAGCGCCAUGCAUUCUUCGAACAACCUGCUUCUUCGAUGUCAAUGUUGAUCAACUGUCUUUUGAGUUGGUCAAAAUACCGUUGCAACUGUUCGGGCGACUUUCCUGCUUAUUGAAGACGUCAAGCCUCACUGAUCGAAGAAGCUCAAGACGGCGUGUUACAUCACAAUACAUGGUGCUCGGGGACUAGCUGUGGGGGUACAAACCCCUAUACCCUUACGGCUAGACUUGGGCCAGGAGGCUUGGCCCAUUACGAGACGAGUUCA
rnacentral:lncRNA from 1 species